GAUGAACGCUAGCGGGAGGCCUAACACAUGCAAGCCGAGCGGUAUUGUUUCUUCGGAAAUGAGAGAGCGGCGUACGGGUGCGGAACACGUGUGCAACCUGCCUUUAUCUGGGGGAUAGCCUUUCGAAAGGAAGAUUAAUACUCCAUAACAUAUUGAUUGGCAUCAAUUAAUAUUGAAAGCUCCGGCGGAUAGAGAUGGGCACGCGCAAGAUUAGCUAGUUGGUGAGGGAACGGCUCACCGAGGCGAUGAUCUUUAGGGGGCCUGAGAGGGUGCACCCCCACACUGGUACUGAGACACGGGCCAGACUCCUACGGGAGGCAGCAGUGAGGAAUAUUGGUCAAUGGGUGCAAGCCUGAACCAGCCAUCCCGCGUGAAGGACGACUGCCCUAUGGGUUGUAAACUUCUUUUGUAUAGGGAUAAACCUACCCUCGUGAGGGUAGCUGAAGGUACUAUACGAAUAAGCACUGGCUAACUCCGUGCCAGCCGCCGCGGUAAGAC
rnacentral:rRNA from 1 species